CUGGUGUUGAAGGCCCUGCAAAGCAGCAUCGCGGUGGCGGAGCGUCGUUUGAGACGCCCAACACACAAAACAAGCGGUGAGUGCUUUGGGGUGGGGUGACUGCGUACCUUUUGUAUAAUGGGUCAGCGACUUAUAUUCUGUAGCAAGGUUAACCGAAUAGGGGAGCCGGAGGGAAACCGAGUCUUAAUUGGGCGUUAAGUUGCAGGGUAUAGACCCGAAACCCGGUGAUCUAGCCAUGGGCAGGUUGAAGGUUGGGUAACACUAACUGGAGGACCGAACCGACUAAUGUUGAAAAAUUAGCGGAUGACCUGUGGCUGGGGGUGAAAGGCCAAUCAAACCGGGAGAUAGCUGGUUCUCCCCGAAAGCUAUUUAGGUAGCGCCUCGUGAACUCAUCUCCGGGGGUAGAGCACUGUUUCGGCUAGGGGGCCAUCCCGGCUUACCAACCCGAUGCAAACUGCGAAUACCGGAGAAUGUUAUCACGGGAGACACACGGCGGGUGCUAACGUCCGUCGUGAAGAGGGAAACAACCCAGACCGCCAGCUAAGGUCCCAAAGUCAUGGUUAAGUGGGAAACGAUGUGGGAAGGCCCAGACAGCCAGGAUGUUGGCUUAGAAGCAGCCAUCAUUUAAAGAAAGCGUAAUAGCUCACUGGUCGAGUCGGCCUGCGCGGAAGAUGUAACGGGGCUAAACCAUACACCGAAGCUGCGGCAGCGAACGUAUCACCCAAGACAACUUUGCGGAGUUGACGAUUGACGGAGCGAAGCGACGUCAAAGCGUUCAUUAAAGUCGAGUUGGCUUAGGGAUACGUUCGUUGGGUAGGGGAGCGUUCUGUAAGCCAGUGAAGGUGUGUCGUGAGGCAUGCUGGAGGUAUCAGAAGUGCGAAUGCUGACAUAAGUAACGAUAAAGCGGGUGAAAAGCCCGCUCGCCGGAAGACCAAGGGUUCCUGUCCAACGUUAAUCGGGGCAGGGUGAGUCGACCCCUAAGGCGAGGCCGAAAGGCGUAGUCGAUGGGAAACGGGUUAAUAUUCCCGUACUUGGUGUUACUGCGAAGGGGGGACGGAGAAGGCUAUGUUGGCCGGGCGACGGUUGUCCCGGUUUAAGCGUGUAGGCUGGUUUUCCAGGCAAAUCCGGAAAAUCAAGGCUGAGGCGUGA
rnacentral:rRNA from 1 species